rnacentral:lncRNA from 1 species
GGAAAGGCAGCAUCGCCCCGGGACACGGUUCCCAGCCGCGCCCCGGGACCUGGGGGGUGACCCUGGCCGGGCCCGGGCACAGCGGCCGCAGCGCCAGCGGAGGGGCUGAACCGCCAGAGCUGGCAGCGUGUGGCUCCUCCCGUCCUUUGUUGGCCUGCAACCGGAGCAGCGGCCGCGGGCUCUUCCCCCGGCUGUCCUUCGAGGCCUGAGGUGCUCGGGUGCGGGGAGAGCCCGGCGGGACCCGGGCAGCGUCUCCCACGCCACGCAGCUUCGGCGCGGGGGAGAUCAGCCCCGGCGGCCGGCGCGGUGCUGCCCGCCGGCACCGCUCGGAAACCCUCCCGAGCUGUCCGGGCUGCGGGAGGCCGCGACCCGGCCCCGGCCCCGCGGCGCUCGGCGGCCCCGCAGCCUCCCCGCCCCCGGCACUCUCCAGGGAGCCGUUCCACACGGAAUCACACGGGAGCGUCUCCCCAUCUGUGCCGCCGAGCACCCCCACCCCCACCGCCCAGCCCCGCAGCCUCCUGCCAUUAUGUUCCUCCGACGCGGGGCCGGGCCGCGCCGCGGGCCGUAGCCCUGCCCGAGCCCGCCGGCUCCGGCCGCAGCAGGUGCAGCCAGGGGCAGAAGGGCUUUGCCGGGGUCGCCCACCCACCCGGAGGGAGCCCUGCAGAGCAGCAUCUCCCGCAGCCUCCGAGAGGAGGGGGUUUCAGCGCGUAGGCGGAGGUGGUUACUGGUGUUCCCAGAGCAAGGGUGAGUAGCCAAGAGGAGCGGGGUGGCUGCUGUCUCGGUCUGGGUGCCUGUCAGCCAUGCAGGAGGAAGGCCCUUGCGUGGCCGAGGUGAAGGCGAGCGGGCAGGAGCAGAGCGGCCACAGGCGCAGGUGGGUGUAGACCCCCGGAGCGGCGUGGGCACCGCAGGGGGCUGAGACCCUGGGCAGGCAUCGCCUGAGAGGCGCAGAGCCGGACAGGCGGUCGGUCCGCACAAUCUCUGCGGGGUGGGAGCCGCGCAGAGCCUGACCGGGCCUCCCCAGCCGGCGGGUGCAAGCCGGGGGGGGCUGCCCAGCCGUGGGGCUGCAGCUCGCUGCUUCUCAAGGCCUCUAGCAUAGUCGAAUAGCAAAAGAAAAAAAAGAAAAAUCAGUGUAGCAGCCAAGUCGGUGCUGCGAGGAGGGGGCAAAGGAACUAUUUUGUAGGCAUCUUGCUGCUGCGGAAAUGGAUUUAUUGAGGGGAGGGAGGCACAUUUGUGGGUACACUAUAGUAAUGCUGCUCAGAGCUGCUCGGGCGGCCCCAGAUGGUACGAGGAGUGGGGAGGGCAGAUGGGAGAAGCCCUUGAUCGGGCACCCCAUGGCCGUGGGCAUGAGGGGGCAGAUUUGACGUGUGUGAGUAGCCACCCCUCAUCUCGGGGAGCAGAGGGGCAGCAGCCCGGGUUAGCAGCCUGUCUCCCAGGGCUGUGGCCGAGCCUGCCUGGUGCUGCAAGAGAGAUCCUAUGAGGAUUUUUAUUGCGGUCUCUUUGUUAGCUACAGACAGGCACGCACACACUGCUCGCAGCCAGGUUGUGG